UCAUAAUUGUUUUACCAAAUUUAAAGGAUAUGCUGACGUUGACACAAAAGGUGUGGUCUCUCAGACUAUAAACAACGUGGACACGUUAUUCCAAUCUUACUUUGAUGCUCAUUCAUUUAACAGAUUUGUAUGCAUCCGUUUUCAACUCUCAAAGACUCUGUGGUGGAGAAUCCAACAAUGCAGACCAUGGAUAUUGAUGACGACACGUCUCCCAACAAGCCCAGUGUUACAUUUUCAGCUAAUUUUCUGUGGUGGAAGAGACCCUCUGGAGUUGCUGCAGUGUGUCUGGGGCUGCUGUGUGUUCUCCUACUGGCUGGGAUCAUAGGCCUGUCUGUCUACUCUGGAGUCAUUGAUCAUCACUCAACAGAGGGAGACCAACAGAGCAGUUACAGCCUUCUGACUAAAGAGAGAGACGAGCUACAGACCAGUUACAACACCCUGACUAAAGAGAGAGACGAGCUACAGACCAGUUACAACACCUUAACUCAAGAGAGAGACGAGCUACAGACCAGUUACAACACCCUGACUAAAGAGAGAGACGAGCUACAGACCAGUUACAACACCUUAACUCAAGAGAGAGACGAGCUACAGACCAGUUACAACACCUUAACUCAAGAGAGAGACGAGCUACAGACCAGUUACAACAACCUGACUAAAGAGAGAGACGAGCUACAGACCAGUUACAACACCUUAACUCAAGAGAGAGACGAGCUACAGACCAGUUACAACACCCUGACUAAAGAGAGAGACGAGCUACAGACCAGUUACAACACCCUGACUAAAGAGAGAGACCAGCUACAGACCAGUUACAACACCUUAACUCAAGAGAGAGACGAGCUACAGACCAGUUACAACACCUUAACUCAAGAGAGAGACGAGCUACAGACCAGUUACAACACCUUAACUCAAGAGAGAGACGAGCUACAGACCAGUUACAACACCUUAACUCAAGAGAGAGACGAGCUACAGACCAGUUAUAACACCCUGACUGAAGAGAGAGACCAGCUACAGAACAGUCUCACCACAAGGACUGCUGAAAGGGAGAAAUUACAGAAUAGUCUUAACUCAAGGACCGCUGAGAGAGACCAGUUGCAGAAUAGUCUAAAUACCAGAACCACUGAGAGAGACCAGCUACAGACCAGUUACAACACCCUGACUAAAAAGAGAGACCAGUUACAGAAUAGUCUCACAACAAAAACUAAGGAGAAAGACCAGUUGCAGAAUACUCUCACCACAAUAACUCGGGAGAGAGACCAGCUACAGAAUAGUCUCACCACGAGGACCAAAGACAGGGACCAGCAGCAAAAUAGUCUUAAAGUUAUGACUGCUGAUAGGGAUCAAUUAAAGAAUAGUCUUAAUGCACGGACCAAAGAGAGAGACCAGUUGCAGAAUAAUCUAAAUACUAGGACCACAGAGAGAAACCAGCUACAGAAUAGUCUCUCAACCAAAACUAAGGAGAAAGACCAGUUGCAGAAUACUCUCACCACAAUAACUCAAGAGAGAGACCAGUUGCAGAAUAAUCUAAAUACCACAACCACUGAGAGAGACCAGUUUCAAACCAGGCUUAGGUUCUAUGGUGAGUGCAGUCUUUCAUUUUCUUAUUUUAGAAGUAUAAUUUUACUUCAUACUUUUACAUGCUUGCAGUUAUGUUGUGUUUAUCUCAGAGAAACCCUGUCUGGAUGGAUGGUGGAAGUUUGGCACCAGCUGUUAUUAUGUCUCCUCCACGAUGGACUCAUCUGGGGGCGGUCAGAGGGAGUGCAGAACAAUGGGAGGAGAGUUGGUUAUUAUAAACAGCAGAGAAGAACAGGUAAUAGAUAAUACAUUAGUAAUACUAUAAUACUACUGUUUCAUUAUUAUUAUUAUUAUCUCUCAUUUGUUUUCAACAUGUUUAAUUCUGUGUGGCUACAGGGUUCAUUCUGUGUGGCUACAGGGUUCAUUCUGUGUGGUUACAGGGUUCAUUCUGUGUGGCUACAGGGUUCAUUCUGUGUGGCUACAGGGUUAAUUCUGUGUGGUUACAGGGUUAAUUCUGUGUGGUUACAGGGUUCAUUCUGUGUGGUUACAGGGUUCAUUCUGUGUGGUUACAGGGUUCAUUCUGUGUGGUUACAGUGGUGAAACCGAAACAAUUCAAAUGGUUAGUGGCUAUGGUUAGGGGUUAAGGUUAGUGGCUAUGGUUAGGGGUUAAGGUUAGUGGCUAUGGUUAGGGGUUAAGGUUAGUGGCUAUGGUUAGGGGUUAAGGUUAGUGGCUAUGGUUAGGGGUUAAGGUUAGUGGCUAUGGUUAGGGGUUAAGGUUAGGGGUUAAGGUUAGUGGCUAUGGUUAGGGGUUAAGGUUAGUGGCUAUGGUUAGGGGUUAAGGUUAGUGGCUAUGGUUAGGGGUUAAGGUUAGUGGCUAUGGUUAGGGGUUAAGGUUAGUGGCUAUGGUUAGGGGUUAAGGUUAGGGGUUAAGGUUAGUGGCUAUGGUUAGGGGUUAAGGUUAGUGGCUAUGGUUAGGGGUUAAGGUUAGUGGCUAUGGUUAGGGGUUAAGGUUAGUGGCUAUGGUUAGGGGUUAAGGUUAGUGGCUAUGGUUAGGGUUUAAGGUUAGAGCUAUGGUUAGGGGUUAAGGUUAGUGGCUAUGGUUAGGGGUUAAGGUUAGUGGCUAUGGUUAGGGGUUAAGGUUAGUGGCUAUGGUUAGGGUUUAAGGUUAGAGCUAUGGUUAGGGGUUAAGGUUAGUGGCUAUGGUUAGGGGUUAAGGUUAGUGGCUAUGGUUAGGGGUUAAGGUUAGUGGCUAUGGUUAGGGGUUAAGGUUAGUGGCUAUGGUUAGGGGUUAAGGUUAGUGGCUAUGGUUAGGGGUUAAGGUUAGUGGCUAUGGUUAGGGGUUAAGGUUAGUGGCUAUGGUUAGGGGUUAAGGUUAGGGGUUAAGGUUAGUGGCUAUGGUUAGGGGUUAAGGUUAGUGGCUAUGGUUAGGGGUUAAGGUUAGUGGCUAUGGUUAGGGGUUAAGGUUAGUGGCUAUGGUUAGGGGUUAAGGUUAGUGGCUAUGGUUAGGGGUUAAGGUUAGUGGCUAUGGUUAGGGGUUAAGGUUAGGGGUUAAGGUUAGUAGCUAUGGUUAGGGGUGAAGGUUAGUGGCUAUGGUUAGGGGUUAAGGUUAGUGGCUAUGGUUAGGGUUUAAGGUUAGAGCUAUGGUUAGGGGUUAAGGUUAGUGGCUAUGGUUAGGGGUUAAGGUUAGUGGCUUUGGUUAGGGGUUAAGGUUAGUGGCUAUGGUUAGGGGUUAAGGUUAGUGGCUAUGGUUAGGGGUUAAGGUUAGUGGCUAUGGUUAGGGGUGAAGGUUAGUGGCUAUGGUUAGGGGUUAAGGUUAGAGCUAUGGUUAGGGUUUAAGGUUAGAGCUAUGGUUAGGGGUUAAGGUUAGUGGCUAUGUUUAGGGGUUAAGGUUAGUGGCUUUGGUUAGGGGUUAAGGUUAGUGGCUUUGGUUAGGGGUUAAGGUUAGUGGCUAUGGUUAGGGGUUAAGGUUAGUGGCUAUGGUUAGGGGUUAAGGUUAGUGGCUAUGGUUAGGGGUUAAGGUUAGUGGCUAUGGUUAGGGGUUAAGGUUAGUGGCUAUGGUUAGGGGUUAAGGUUAGUGGCUAUGGUUAGGGGUUAAGGUUAGUGGCUAUGGUUAGGGGUUAAGGUUAGUGGCUAUGGUUAGGGGUUAAGGUUAGUGGCUAUGGUUAGGGGUUAAGGUUAGUGGCUAUGGUUAGGGGUUAAGGUUAGUGGCUAUGGUUAGGGGUUAAGGUUAGUGGCUAUGGUUAGGGGUUAAGGUUAGUGGCUAUGGUUAGGGGUAAAGGUUAGAGCUAUGGUUAGGGGUUAAGGUUAGUGGCUAUGGUUAGGGGUUAAGGUUAGUGGCUAUGGUUAGGGGUUAAGGUUAGUGGCUAUGGUUAGGGGUUAAGGUUAGUGGCUAUGGUUACGGGUUAAGGUUAGUGGCUAUGGUUAGGGGUUAAGGUUAGUGGCUAUGGUUAGGGGUUAAGGUUAGUGGCUAUGGUUAGGGGUUAAGGUUAGUGGCUAUGGUUGGGGGUUAAGGUUAGUGUCUAUGGUUAGGGGUUAAGGUUAGUGGUUAUGGUAACUGGUUAAGGUUAGAGCUAUGGUUAGGGGUUAAGGUUAGUGGUUAUGGUAACUGGUUAAGGUUAGAGCUAUGGUUAGGGGUUAAGGUUAGUGGUUAUGGUAACUGGUUGAGGUUAGAGCUAUGGUUAGGGGUUAAGGUUAGUGGUUAUGGUAACUGGUUAAGGUUAGAGCUAUGGUUAGGGGUUAAGGUUAGUGGUUAUGGUAACUGGUUAAGGUUAGAGCUAUGGUUAGGGGUUAAGGUUAGUGGUUAUGGUAACUGGUUGAGGUUAGAGCUAUGGUUAGGGGUUAAGGUUAGUGGUUAUGGUAACUGGUUAAGGUUAGAGCUAUGGGUUUGGAAAGAUUAAAACUAAAAUGAUUAAACACAACACACUCUGUUUCCAUCAAGUACUCUCCCAGCUUCCUAGAUCAUUGUGAACUGCUGUGGGGCAGUUGUCAGAGCAGAGUGCUUGGCCUGUGUGGUCUGAACACGUUUCCCCUCUGAGCAUCAUGAGUUUUGCACCAGUGUUCUGCAACAGUUUUGUAUUUUUUUGUGAGGAAGGAAUAUAUGGAAGUACU